AUUGAACGCUGGCGGCAUGCCUUACACAUGCAAGUCGAACGGCGGCACGUUAGCAAUCCUUGCUGCUAGUGGCGAACGGGUUAGUAAAGUAUCGGAACGUGCCCGGUCGGGGGGUAUAACGUAGCGAAAUUAACGCUUAUACCACAUAAGAACUAUGGAUGAAAGCGGGGGAUCGCAAGACCUCUCGCGAUUAGAUGAGUCCAUGUCAGAUUAGGUAGUUGGUGGGGUAAAGGCUCACCAAGACGACGAUCUGUAGCUGGUCUGAGAGGAAGACCAACCACACUGGAAAUGAGACACGGCCAAGACUGAUACGGGAGGCAGCAGUGGGGAAUUUUGGACAAUGGGCGAAAGAAUGAUCCAGCAAUGACGAAUGCAGGAUGAAGGCAUUCGGGUUGUAAACUGCUUUUGUUCGGAACGAAAAGGUUUGGCGUAAGAAGAUAAGAUAAUGGAGGUACCGUAAGAGUAAGCACCGGCUAACUACGUGCCAGCAGCCGCGGUAA
rnacentral:rRNA from 1 species